rnacentral:rRNA from 1 species
UACGAAGGGGGCUAGCGUUGUUCGGAUUUACUGGGCGUAAAGCGCACGUAGGCGGAUCGUUAAGUGAGGGGUGAAAUCCCAGGGCUCAACCCUUGGAACUGCCUUUCAUACUGGCGAUCUAGAGUCCGGAAGAGGUGAGUGGAACUCCUAGUGUAGAGGUGGAAUUCGGUAAGAUAUUCGGAAGAACACCAGUGGCGAAGGCGGCUCACUGGCCCGGUACUGACGCUGAGAAUACGGAAAGCGUGGGGAGCAAACAGGAUUGAGAUACCCCG